rnacentral:rRNA from 1 species
GACGAACGCUGGCGGCGUGCUUAACACAUGCAAGUCGAACGCUGAAGCUCAGCUUUUGUUGGGUGGAUGAGUGGCGAACGGGUGAGUAACACGCGAGUAACCUGCCCCCUUCUUUGGGAUAACGCCCGGAAACGGGUGCUAAUACUGGAUAUUCACUGGUCUUCGCAUGGGGGUUGGUGGAAAGGGUUUUUCUGGUGGGGGAUGGGCUCGCGGCCUAUCAGCUUGUUGGUGGGGUGAUGGCCUACCAAGGCUUUGACGGGUAGCCGGCCUGAGAGGGUGACCGGUCACAUAGGGACUGAGAUACGGCCCAGACUCCUACGGGAGGCAGCAGUGGGGAAUAUUGCAGAAUGGGCGAAAGCCUGAUGCAGCGACGCCGCGGGAGGGAUGGAGGCCUUCGGGUUGUGAACCUCCUUCGCUCAUGGUCAAGCCGCAACAAUGGUUGUGGUGAGGGUAGUGGGUAAAGAAGCGCCGGCUAACUACGUG